rnacentral:rRNA from 1 species
GCAAGUCGAACGCGAAAGGGGCUUCGGUCCUGAGUAGAGUGGCGAACGGGUGAGUAACGCGUGGGUGAUCUACCUUCGAGUGGGGGAUAACGUCCCGAAAGGGGCGCUAAUACCGCAUGACGUUCUGGGUUUAAAGACCUGGAAACCAAAGCCGGGGACCGCAAGGCCUGGCGCUUGAAGAGGAGCCCGCGUCCGAUUAGCUAGUUGGCGGGGUAACGGCCCACCAAGGCGACGAUCGGUAGCCGGCCUGAGAGGGCGGACGGCCACACUGGAACUGAGACACGGUCCAGACUCCUACGGGAGGCAGCAGUGGGGAAUUGUUCACAAUGGGCGCAAGCCUGAUGACGCAACGCCGCGUGGGGGAUGAAGGUCUUCGGAUUGUAAACCCCUGUCGAAUGGGACGAAUAGCCUCUGGGCUAAUCACCAGAGGAAUGACGGUACCGUUAAAGGAAGCCACGGCUAACUCUGUGCCAGCAGCCGCGGUAAUACAGAGGUGGCAAGCGUUGUUCGGAAUUACUGGGCGUAAAGGGCGCGUAGGCGGCCUACUAAG